GACGAACGCUGGCGGCGUGCUUAACACAUGCAAGUCGAACGGAAAGGCCCUGCUUUUGUGGGGUGCUCGAGUGGCGAACGGGUGAGUAACACGUGAGUAACCUGCCCUUGACUUUGGGAUAACUUCAGGAAACUGGGGCUAAUACCGGAUAGGAGCUCCUGCUGCAUGGUGGGGGUUGGAAAGUUUCGGCGGUUGGGGAUGGACUCGCGGCUUAUCAGCUUGUUGGUGGGGUAGUGGCUUACCAAGGCUUUGACGGGUAGCCGGCCUGAGAGGGUGACCGGCCACAUUGGGACUGAGAUACGGCCCAGACUCCGACGGGAGGCAGCAGUGGAGAAUAAUGCACAGUGGGCGGAAGCCUGAUGCAGCAACGCAGCGUGCGGGAUGACGGCCUUCGGGUUGUAAACCGCUUUCGCCUGUGACGAAGAGUGAGUGACGGUAAUGUGUAAAGAAGCACCGGAUAACUACGUG
rnacentral:rRNA from 1 species